rnacentral:rRNA from 1 species
UACGUAGGAUCCAAGCGUUGUCCGGAAUUACUGGGUGUAAAGGGUGCGCAGGCGGGCUUGUGCGUCAGAGGUUAAAUACUCCGGCUCAACCGGGGAAAUGCCUUUGAUACGGCAAGUCUUGAGUACGAGAGAGGAUGGUAGAAUUCCUGGUGUAGCGGUGAAAUGCGUAGAUAUCAGGAGGAAUACCAGUGGCGAAGGCGGCCAUCUGGCUCGUAACUGACGCUCAGGCACGAAAGCGUGGGGAUCAAACAGG